CGCAGGGUGGAGCAGCCUGGUAGCUCGUCGGGCUCAUAACCCGAAGGUCGUCGGUUCAAAUCCGGCCCCCGCAACCA
rnacentral:tRNA from 3 species